rnacentral:pre_miRNA from 1 species
AAUUUCAGCUGAAAAAGUCAUGAACAUAAAAGUUGUAGAGCUCAUCAAGACAUACAACUUUUAUUUUGGUCAUUUCUUUAUCUGAUAAAGUGAUAGUAAUAUUGUUCACAAAGUUUACAUAUCUCUCUUAUAGUUUAUAGAACCAAAUAAGAUAGAUGUAGAUUUUGUGAACAAUAUUACUAUCACUUUGUCGGAUGAAAAACUGAUCAAAAUAAAAGUUAUAGAUCUUGAUGAGUUAUACAACUUUGUUGUCGAUGACUUUUUCAGUUGAAAUC